rnacentral:rRNA from 1 species
UACGUAGGGACCAAGCGUUGUUCGGAUUUACUGGGCGUAAAGGGCGCGUAGGCGGCUCGGCACGUCCGUUGUGAAAUCGCCCGGCUCAACUGGGCGGGGUCAGCGGAUACGGCCGAGCUUGAGCAAGCUAGGGGGCAAUGGAAUUCCCGGUGUAGUGGUGGAAUGCGUAGAUAUCGGGAGGAACACCAGUGGCGAAGGCGGUUGCCUGGGGCUUUGCUGACGCUGAUGCGCGAAAGCGUGGGGAGCGAUCCGG